rnacentral:rRNA from 1 species
UACGGAGGGGGCUAGCGUUGUUCGGAAUUACUGGGCGUAAAGCGCACGUAGGCGGGUUUGUAAGUUGGGGGUGAAAUCCCGGGGCCCGACCCCGGAACUGCCUUCAAGACUGCAGACCUGGAGGUCAGGAGAGGCGAGCGGAAUACCGAGUGUAGAGGUGAAAUUCGUAGAUAUUCGGUGGAACACCAGUGGCGAAGGCGGCUCGCUGGACUGAUACUGACGCUGAGGUGCGAAAGCGUGGGGAGCAAACAGG